rnacentral:rRNA from 1 species
AGCGAACGCUGGCGGCAGGCCUAACACAUGCAAGUCGAACGAAGUCUUCGGACUUAGUGGCGGACGGGUGAGUAACACGUGGGAACGUGCCUUUAGGUUCGGAAUAACUCAGGGAAACUUGUGCUAAUACCGAAUGUGCCCUUCGGGGGAAAGAUUCAUCGCCUUUAGAGCGGCCCGCGUCUGAUUAGCUAGUUGGUGGGGUAAUGGCCCACCAAGGCUACGAUCAGUAGCUGGUCUGAGAGGAUGACCAGCCACAUUGGGACUGAGACACGGCCCAAACUCCUACGGGAGGCAGCAGUGGGGAAUCUUGCGCAAUGGGCGAAAGCCUGACGCAGCCAUGCCGCGUGGAUGAUGAAGGUCUUAGGAUUGUAAAAUCCUUUCACCGGUGAAGAUAAUGACUGUAGCCGGAGAAGAAGCCCCGGCUAACUUCGUGCCAGCAGCCGCCGCCGUAA